UACGAAGGGGGCUAGCGUUGCUCGGAAUCACUGGGCGUAAAGCGCACGUAGGCGGCUUGUUAAGUCAGGGGUGAAAUCCUGGAGCUCAACUCCAGAACUGCCUUUGAUACUGGCGAGCUUGAGUCCGGGAGAGGUGAGUGGAACUGCGAGUGUAGAGGUGAAAUUCGUAGAUAUUCGCAAGAACACCAGUGGCGAAGGCGGCUCACUGGCCCGAUACUGACGCUGAGGCACGAAAGCGUGGGGAGCGAACCGG
rnacentral:rRNA from 1 species